rnacentral:lncRNA from 1 species
GUUGAUGUAUGGUAUCUGGGCUAAACGAUUCCUUCAUAGAGCGGAGGUAUAUACGAACUAGCAACUCGAAACCUAGUUUGUUGGUUGUUUGUGGGAAACCACUCAGCGUACCAUAUUGAAAACUGUUAGAGACUCGAUGUGUACCAAGUAUAGAAAGUGGAUAGAUAGAGUCUAAAAGACUAAAAGUGCAGGGAUAGGAG